CCUACGGGUGGCAGCAGUGAGGAAUAUUGGUCAAUGGGCGAGAGCCUGAACCAGCCAAGUCGCGUGAGGGAGUACUGCCCUAUGGGUUGUAAACCUCUUUUGUCGGGGAGCAAAAGCCGGACGUUUCCGGCUGUGGUAGUACCCGUAUGAAAAGCAUCGGCGAACACCCGUCCAGAAGCCGCGGUAAUACGGGGGAUGCGGGGGUUAUCCGGGUUUAUUGGGUUUAAAGGGUGCGCAGGGGGGUUUUUAAGGCAGCGGUCAAAUCGUGGGGCUAAACCCCAUCCAGCCGUUGAAACUGGGGAUCUAGAGUGUGCGAGAGGUAUGCGGAAUGCGUGGUGUAGCGGUGAAAUGCAUAGAUAUCACGCAGAACCCCGAUUGCGAAGGCAGCAUACCGGUGUAUAACUGACGCUCAGGCACGAAAGUGUGGGUAUCGAACAGGAUUAGAUACCCUGGUAGUC
rnacentral:rRNA from 1 species